rnacentral:tRNA from 1 species
GUCCAGGGUAGCUUAGUGGACAUGGCAUCUGCCCGGGUAGGGGAACACUGUGAGUUCGAUUCUCAUCACGGGACA